GCCCAAGCAAGCCAGGAAGGAGGAGGCAGCCAGAGUGUUCUCGGCAGCAGAAGACCCCUUGCUGCCCUGCUCAACCCAGACCAGCAUUUGCCAGGUUGUUCGUUUUCACAAGACUGCUGUUUACGUUUUGAAAGCAAUUUGCCUGAACAGAAGCAUUUUGCUGCUGUUGAGUGGCUAAUUAGGAAAGCACCCAGUUGCAGAGUCUAAAUUUCAAGGCAUUAGUAGCAGCUUUUAACACCUUCUGGGACCAGGGACCAGAAAUCUGGGGACAAGAAAAGAUGCCCAUUUGCAGCUCAGAGAUGCAGAUUUGCUUUGGGCAGAAUAGAACAGUUUCCUCCCAAAAAUAGCAGCUAACAGAAGAUGGGAUUGAGAUCUCCCUGGACUGAGCUAAUGUCCUGAACUAAUAUCAAUAAUUAAAAGACAAUAUCCAGAAGCUGCCCCCAGCCUGCUUGACUGCUUGAAGCUUGCACCCCAGGCUCCUGUUCUCCAGCACCCACGUUUCUCCUCCAUCUGAAGUCUGCAUCGCUCCAGCUCCUGCUCUCCAGCUCCAGAGUCUCUUCUUCAGCUGAAGCCUCACCGCUCUCAAGCCUCUGACCCUGGUAUGGCGGUUCAGGGAAUUGGCUCCGGAGGCCAAGGUGGAGCCAGAACUGAUGCCGGAGGCCCUCUGGAGACUAGGCGAGUAGAAGCCCUCUGGGGUGUCCCUUGCUCCCAGUACCAGGGGUAGCUAUGCAAGAAAUGUAGCCUCUUUCAGUUCAUUGAGGCUGCAGAUGGGCAUGCAGGAGCACUGACCUGUCCCACCCGAUUACCUUAUGCGGUAUUUGGUGCAUCUACACUCCCUGGGGCGGGCGGCUCCUACCCUUUUGGGUUAUGUAGCCCCCUUGCCAUUUGAGUCUCAGGCCCAUGGGGUUCGCGACUGCACUGGGGACAGCAGGGUGUGGCGCAUGUUGGAGGGGUGGGCCAGAGAGCUUCCCCCGAUUGCAGACCGAAGACAGCCUGUUACACCUGACCUGCUAGAAGCCAUCCUGGGGCUUCUCCCCUCUCUGUGUACCUCCGCCUGGAAGGCAACUCUUUUCCAGGCAGGAGUGGCAGUCUUGUUUCUUGGAGCCUUUUGGCCUGCUGAGUUGUUGCCAUGCAGUGGGCGUUCCCCUAGUUGUUACCCCUGCAGCGUAGGGACUUUCCCUUUUCUAGUGCAGGGGUGACGCUGCUGCUGCAUCAUCCUAAGACCGACCAGAGAGUUAGGGGCCAGGAGAUUUACCUGGCUCAGUCACCUUAUCUGCCCGGGCCAGGCCCUGCACAAAUACAUAGCCUUGGACCCCCAGCAGUGGACAACUUUGCUACCAUCUGCAAUUGGUUGCCAGGGGUGGCAAUAUUGUGGGCAGACUUGUUACAACAUAGAGUUUGGAGGGGUGUCCAAAGUGUGAAGGGAGUUGAGAGGGCCAGGAAAAGGGUUAAUGUGGCCAUGGGUCGUUACGUAACAGCUCAAGGGGGCUGCUUCAUCUCGCAGCCUGGAAUUGAAGAUUCAGAUGCUCACUUUUUUCACCCAGAUGGAGUCUAUUUAUUCGUGAAGGGUGGUGACAUUUACUUGGCCAACCUGCAGUGGGGGUUUGCUGAAUGCUUGGAUAGGUGGGGAGGGUAGGCCAAGCUAGGCUGAUCUUCCCUUGUGGCAGGUGCAGUGCAGGCUGGGUGGAUAUUUAGUUGGGUUUGGGUACUGGUGAGCACCCUAGGGUGUUAAAAGAGAGGCUUUGCGACUCAGGGGCUGUGAUUGGCCAUCACUCCUGUUUGGGGGCUUCACAGAUCUUAAAGGCUGUGCGGCUUGGGGGAGGUGAAGCCCUGGAAGUGGCCCUGACUCCACGGGUUGGCCAGGAAGAGAGCUGGUCUUGUGGUAGCAAGCAUGACUUGUCCCCUUAAGCUAAGCAGGAUCCACCCUGGUUGCAUAUGAAAGGGAGACUUGAUGUGUGAGCACUGUGAGAUAUUCCCCUCAGGGGGUGGAGCUGCUCUGGGAAGAGCAGAAAGUCCCAAGUCCCUUCCCUGGCAGCAUCUCCAAGAUAGGGCUGAGAGAGAUUCCUGCCUGCAACCUUGUAGAAGCCGCUGCCAAUCUGUGUAGACAAUACUGAGCAAGAUGGACCUAUAGUCUGACUCAGUAUAUGGCAGCUGCCUAUGUUCCUAUGAGGAGGCAGCAGGUUUGCACUGCUUACACCUUUGAGCCAUGGUGUGUCGCCCUGAGGGGGCUUGGGGGAAGACCUAAAAGUCUGACCCCAGCCUUGUUAGGCCCACACUGCAGGGGGUGGAGUUUUCUGUCCACAUCCAGUGGCAUGGGGGCAAUAUCCUUUGCGCUCUGGCUAGGCACACUUGUGUCCCCAUAUGCCACAAAGCUGGAGUCUUGACUUGGUCAAGGAAGCACCAAAUAAUACAUUUCUUUCCCACCAGUGGACCAUUCUGGCUUCCUGCUUAGGGGAGAGAUGGCAGGCAUAAGUAGCUCCUGCCCCAUCCAGCAGUACAGACGAGGACCUGGCUGUGUGCUUUUCUGGAUUCUGGAACCGUGCUGUCUGAGUGGUCCCUCCUGGUCUCUUUGGAAUGACUUUCUGCUGUUUGCCGCCUGAGUAUUUUUCUGAGGUAGCCUCCUGGCAUGACACCCUGACUGGUGGUGUUCCUCACUUCCACCAUGAUUGCCUGUGUCCCCUUGGCCAGUCUGCAGGCAGGAUCUGCAGCCCCUUCUUUGAUACUGACUACCAGGGUGGCUUAUAUUCCGAUAGUUUGCAUGUUGGUGGGCACUCUGAACAGCUUGCUCGAAAAGGUUGACUUCAGUUUUAAUAACCUUUUAAAUUUCUUCAAAGUUGGCUUCCAGCUCCUUCAGCUCAUCCAGCAAGGGAUUGCUCUCUCUUUUGCUAGGGUGGUAUGAAGACUGCACUCCCCUCUGGCUCAGGUUCUGCAUGCAGGUGGUGUUGUACAGUUAGAGUUUUCCCAGGUUUAGCCAGUUACAGAUAGGGCACUUCCACAUUCCUGGUUCUUUUCUCGCUCCCAACUGACAGCCAGGUUUUCAAAUAAAAGGUCAUCAGUGAUCUGGCUGUCCUUUAAAUGAGGUUGAAUCAAAAUCCAGAUAUUAUCACUCUGUCAGGAAGGAGUGGAGUACCAUUUUGUAGAAGGGUACGGUCACACUUUAAGCCAAUAGCUUGGUCUCAUGAUCAGUGAGAAACGGUUUUGGGUGGUGAGCGGGGAGGGACCCCUGGGCGGCCAGAUUGGCCGUCCACAUGAUUGCUGACUCCGUGACGGAGCCGGUGGGGGCUAGGGAGCUCGGAGGCCUGCGCAAGCGCGCAGGGCAUACUGGAGAGACCCCCGGAGCCGGGAGGUGGCUCUUCACCUCCCCUCUGGGGGUCUACUCACGAGUAGCCGCAGAGCCGCACCGCAGCUACUCACAAUCGGAUAGCCCGGGAUAGCACUCGCUCUGCAAACCCAGACUAAGGGGAGGGGUACUUGAGCGGGUUACCCGCUCUAGAACCACCGGGCUCACAGCCUGGUGGUUCUCACGAUCAGCAAAAUUCAGGCUAGCAGAGGCUAGCCCAAUUUUUGCUGAUCAUGGGAACAGCCCCGGAGUCUGUUUCUUGUGAAGCAAACAGAAUAUUUUGUCUCAAAUCCAUUAGUCAGUCUAGGAAAUCCUGGGGUGUGUCUUGGGGUUCUCACACUGCUGUUGACAAGGAUAAAUACAACUCUGUUGCAUCUUUUUUCUGGAGCUUUUACAGACAGGGUCGUUACUGCGAAUCUCCUCCAGACAAUAGUGUGUGCAUUCACACACCAGUCAAACUUACCCCGAAGUCCGUUUGAGAUCCUUGGAAGCACUCCACACACAAAUUGGGCUUUGUCUUCCGAAUUCUAGCUUAUCUCGAUGUAUUUCCAGGUUUUUAAAAUGCUGGCUUUAAGAAAGUUUUCUAAAAACGGUGCAGCAAAUAGGGAGAGGCACUGAUGAAGAAUCACUAACAUGAUAAGAGGGAGGCAACAUUGUGUUCCUACCCCAAGGAGCUCUCUCUCUCUCUCUCUCUCUCUCUCUCUCUCUCUCUCUCUCUCUCUCCCCAUUGGCUAGAAGGAAACCACGGAGGAAUGCAAUGUGAACCUGCACCAAAAGAAAACCCGAAAGCGGAGGGAAGGGGCUGCUUCCCUCAGAUACCGCGAGUGUACUUCAAAGUGGCUUUGCUCAACAUUUACUCCACAGCAUGAAGCCACGUGUGAAUAACUCCCUGGUGGUAGGAACUCAGUUUUGCUAGGCUGAGAUCUCUUUUCCCUUCCAAAUAGCUUCUGAGACUAAGUGCAGGGGAAAUAGUCUUAAUUACAGCGUCUAGUAUUUCUGUCUCACUGUAACCAUUUUGGAUUCAACCCUCAAUCUGACAGGCCAAGCUGGUGAAAUUCAGUCUGUCCUUUUGCAGAGGGUAACCUAUCUAUCCAGUUAUCUUAAAAUCUUUCCUGUUUUGGUUCCACUCCCAUGUGCAAUUUUCUCUCCUCCAGUUUCCUGUCUAUCUCCUCCAUUUUUUUCUGGGGCUGAUCUUCUAAUAGUUUUACAUUCUCAAGAUAUUACUUCUGUAGUUUCCUUCUCUAUUAGUUACAGUUCUGAACUCUUCAAUCUAAUCUUUCACUUUCAAGAAGUGCUGGUUAUUGCCUUUAAAGCCCUGAACAGCUUAGGUCCAAGUUACCUUAGAGAGCGCCUUCUUCUGCACGAUCUCCACCGCACGUUAAGGUCAUCUGAAGAGGUCCGUCUACAGUUACCAACAGCACGUCUGGUGGCGACUCAGAGGCGGGCCUUCUCUGUAGCUGCUCCUGGGCUGUAGAAUGCACUCCCAGCAGGAAUCCAUAAUCUGAGUUCAUAGUUGGCCUUCAGGGGAGCCCUUAAGACCUCUCUGUUUGGCCUGGCCUUCCAGAGUUUUUAAACUGUUUUUAAACCAUAAAGGUUCAACCUGGUUUUCCAGGGUUUUAAAAAACUGUUUUAAUUAUUUUAAUAAUGGUUUUAUGUUUUUAUAGUUUUCAGUUUUAAUUGUUAAUUGAUUUUAGUUUUGUUUUAAUGUAAGCCAUUUUGGAAGGGUGGUAUAGAAAUAAAAUGCAUAUAUACAUACUGUGGAUAA